rnacentral:rRNA from 1 species
GGAGGCCACUGCUAUUGGGAUCCGAUUAAGCCAUGCGAGUCGAGAGGGUUCGGCCCUCGGCAGACGGCUCAGUAACACGUGGAUAAUCUACCCUUAGGUGGAGGAUAACCUCGGGAAACUGAGAAUAAUACUCCAUAGGCCUAGAAGGCUGGAAUGCAUCUAGGCUGAAAGUUCUGGCGCCUAAGGAUGAGUCUGCGGACUAUCAGGUAGUAGUCAGGGUAAUGACCUGACUAGCCUACGACGGAUACGGGUUGUGAGAGCAAUUGCCCGGAGACGAUAUCUGAGACACGAUAUCGGGCCCUACGGGGCGCAGCAGGCGCGAAACCUUCACACUGUGCGAAAGCACGAUGAGGGGAUCCCAAGUGCUGGCUCGUAAGAGUCAGCUGUUUCUUUGUCUAAAAAACAGAGAGAGUAAGAGCUGGGUAAGACGGGUGCCAGCCGCCGCGGUAAUACCUGCAGCUCAAGUGGUGACCGCUAUUAU